rnacentral:rRNA from 1 species
GUCCUAGCCGUAAACGUUGGGUGCUAGGUGUGGGCGGAUAUCGACCCCGUCCGUGCCGAAGCUAACGCAUUAAGCACCCCGCCUGGGGAGUACGGCCGCAAGGCUAAAACUCAAAGGAAUUGACGGGGCCCGCACAAGCGGCGGAGCAUGUGGCUUAAUUCGAAGCGACGCGAAGAACCUUACCUGGGCUUGACAUGCGGGGUGAAACCGUAGAAAAUACGGCGCUCCUCGGAGCCCGCACAGGUGGUGCAUGGCUGUCGU